AUAGGAGAUAGGAAGGCAUCUUCUUAUUUUUAAAAGACCUAGUAAUAGGUAUGCUUAAAGAGGAGCUUGCGUCACAUUAGUUAGUUGGUAGGGUAAAAGCCUACCAAGACUAUGAUGUGUAGCCGGGCUGAGAGGUCAAACGGCCACAUUGGGACUGAGACACGGCCCAAACUCCUACGGGAGGCAGCAGUAAGGAAUUUUCGGCAAUGGAGGAAACUCUGACCGAGCAACGCCGCGUGAACGAUGAAGUAUUUCGGUACGUAAAGUUCUUUUAUUAGGGAAGAAAAGAUGGUGGAAAAACCAUUAUGACGGUACCUAAUGAAUAAGCCCCGGCUAACUAUGUGCCAGCAGCCGCGGUAAUACAUAGGGGGCAAGCGUUAUCCGGAAUUAUUGGGCGUAAAGGGUGCGUAGGCGGUUAAAUAAGUUUAUGGUCUAAGUGCAAUGCUCAACGUUGUGAUGCUAUAAAAACUGUUUAGCUAGAGUUGGAUAGAGGCAAGUGGAAUUCCAUGUGUAGUGGUAAAAUGCGUAAAUAUAUGGAGGAACACCAGGAGCGAAGGCGGCUUGCUGGGUCUUAACUGACGCUGAGGCACGAAAGCGUGGGGAGCAAACAGGAUUAGAUACCCUGGUAGUCCACGCCCUAAACGAUGAGUACUAAACGUUGGGUAAAACCAGUGUUGAAGUUAACACAUUAAGUACUCCGCCUGAGUAGUACGUACGCAAGUAUGAAACUUAAAGGAAUUGACGGGACUCCGCACAAGCGGUGGAUCAUGUUGUUUAAUUCGAAGGUACCCGAAAAACCUCACCAGGUCUUGACAUGCUUUUGCAAAGCUGUAGAAAUACAGUGGAGGUUAUCAAUUGCACAGGUGGUGCAUGGUUGUCGUCAGCUCGUGUCGUGAGAUGUUGGGUUAAGUCCCGCAACGAGCGCAACCCUUGUUGUUAAUUGCCAGCAUGUAAUGAUGGGGACUUUAGCAAGACUGCCAGUGAUAAAUUGGAGGAAGGUGGGGACGACGUCAAAUCAUCAUGCCCCUUAUGACCUGGGCUACAAACGUGAUACAAUGGCUGUUACAAAGGGUAGCUAAAGCGCAAGCUUCUGGCGAAUCUCAAAAAAGCAGUCUCAGUUCGGAUUGAAGUCUGCAACUCGACUUCAUGAAGUUGGAAUCGCUAGUAAUCGCGAAUCAGCAUGUCGCGGUGAUAGAGUUUUUUCGUCAGAGUCAAGCCUAACUUCAGACGUUGAGCUGAAGUACUUCAACCUUAGCGAUCAUUAGCGCUUAGUCGUACAGCGCCACUAUACGUUCU
rnacentral:rRNA from 1 species